UUUUCACCUAAAAAUGAGACUCCAGACCUGCUGACUUCUGCCACUUCACACCAGUUCAAUUCUCAACUCCAGCAGACACCGCCUGGCACCUUCCCUGUAGUGGGAGCUUCUCACUUUUGUCCAGAGUAGCUGAGGACCCUUUAAACAGCAAACUGCAGCUGUCCAUCUAAGGUGCUGUCCUUGGGUUUUCUGCUUUGUGUAUGUUUAAGUUACAUACAUUUUUCCAUGUAUUUCUCACAUAUACUUUUAAAAGUUUAGGCUCUGUCUACUCUUGCUUUUCAAACUGAAGUGGUUCUUUCUGCUCUAUACAUUCUCCUCCUUCUUGGAACACAAGCUUUUUGUAAACUAUAAGGUGUGGGCAACAAGUGUGAUUAAAUCUAGCUGUGGGUGUGCUCACAUCAGAGCACACUUGUUUUUGUGCAAGUGGCAUCAGUGACUGAGAGCUUGUGCAGCACCUCAGGUAGGACAGAACAAGGCACAGUCUGAGCCAUCAGACACUGCCCACUCCUAUUUUUUGUGAAAGGGUGAAGAGGCAACACACUCCUCACAGAUAUGCUGAUAAACAGAUUUCAGUCACAGCACAUCACUUGAUCUGCUAUAAAUGCCUUUUGGGAAGUGUCCGGGUUCAGCUGAGAGCCAUGUUGAGGCUUAGGACCAGGAUUUUUUUUAAUAGAGACCCAAACCUUAGAGAGAACACCUAUAUUUGUCAAUGGAGUAUAUAUGGAGUCCAUUGUUAUUAAACUAAUCUGGUUAACAAAACCCACAGCUUUUUCCUAAAGACAGAUUCAGAGGAUUUAAAGUUCAGGGAGAAUAGCACCUUCUGUCCUUGCCCUGCCUCACUGGCAUCCUGUUGGGCAGAUAGACCCUUGGUAGUACUGUGACACUGACUGCCUUUUGGACUGGUAGGAAGAAAAAGGAAAAGAAUAUUUAGAGGAGGCUGAAGUGUUCAUGGUAGGGAACAGGAGAAGAAACCAGGCCUUGUUAGUAGACGCAGAAUCAUCCCCAUGAGUGGGUUCACCUGCUUUCAGCUCAGCUGAGAAGGGUCUUUGAAAGCCUCGUGCACACACUCAGCUCAGGUGCUCCCCCUGAUCCCACCUCCCUCUGACCUCCAGCUGCAGGGAAGCACUGGAGCAACUCAUUAGGCAGGGCCACAGGUGAGUCGUUAGGACAACCUUCCCACCCUUCCCUCUGGAUGAGUGCCACCUGCACAGAUGGCUUCCUCUGGGCUCUGCUUUCUGCUGAAUUGUAGGUAUUGGAGCCUGCCUCAGAUCUAAUCUGCCUCUGCAUUGCUAGCUGGAACAGAGCUGUGUGGCUGGUUGUGAAAAAAGCUCAUAUUCCCUGAGAAAUACGAGGCUCCCUUCCUGUUUUGGGAUCUUUUACCUGCUUGUUAUAAGGAGUUUUUUUGAGGAUUGCCAGGAGAAGAGGAAAGCAUGUCAAACACGAAAUGCAUUGCAACAUCUAAAGAAGGUAAGUUAAAAUCUGAAUGGGCUGUUGGGAGCCUAACUCAAGCUAUAGCAGUAGCUGAUCAUUAACUUUUCCACAGUAGAGCAGGCAGUGCUACAAAAGCAUAUUACUAAGAUUAAUUAAUUUAGCACCACAACACCUCAUAACACCUCAUAAGUAGGUGGAUUACCUCCCUGAAUAGGGAAAAAGUAAUAGAAAAGUACUCUGUGGAAGUUAAUUGGAAGUACAUCAGCUGCACAGAGCCCCACACCUACUUGUAGCUUUAUACUCAUUGUAUAAAGCUAUAACAACAAUUCCCUCUUGUAGUUUUAAGCAAAGCAUUUGCCCUGCUAUUAGUGACCAGCUGGGAUUUGUGGUCAAGAUAUCCCACAUGGCAGCUCAUCCCUCCAGUUAUUAGAUGUUUUACUACUUAUUCCUUAAUUAAACACCUCUUUCUUUAGCACAGUAAUGUAGUGUAGCAGCAGGGAGCAGUGACUGAAGUCCAAAGAUGAUGGGAAUUUACAACUAUUUUCUUAGCAGAGGCAUCCAGCAGUGUCAUGAACUAGCACAAGCCAACCCCAGUGAAACCAGCAGAAGAAGGCUCAUAGCCAGCUGAGGUCCUGGAUGCCAGAAGCAGACAGAUGAAGCUGUAAGGAGCCCUUAGUUCAGUCUGGAAGCAAAUAUACAGGUUAAAGAAACACAGACCUAAACUGCUAAGAGCAGACAACCACUGAAGUGCCAUGGGAUGGUAGGUUUUGUGCAAAGGGUUUCUGUAUGUUUUGGAAUAUAAAAAUCUCCUUUUCCAGUUUACACUUCACAUAUAAUAGAAGAAACAUAUCCAUUUAAGCCCAAGAAGCAUGAAGCAGUUUACCUUCUAUUUCCUUCAGCUCUAAGCACUCUUCUCUUACCCUCCAGCAACAAACUGAAUAAGCACCUUCAGUUUUUAUAGCACUCCUGUUCCCCAGAAGCCUUUGCAGCCUCUUCCCUCCUCUUCCUCCUCCCCUGAUCUUUAUUUCAGUGGGCUAUAACCUACAAAAUUCAGCAUAGGUUUUAAUUGUUAUAGCCAUCUUUUUCUGCUGAAAUUGUGUUCUACUAAAUGCAAUAAUGCCUUCUUGCUUUUGUUUUGGAUGUAAAGAAUUUUAAUGAAAAAUAUUUUUAUAUCAUAGUGUAAACCCACUCAAACACUUUGACAUGUUCUUCUGUUGUGGAGUCAUCUGCCACAGCCCUGUCUAAAAUUUGGAGCUUGGGUCUCAAAGAGGGCAUCUCCUCAGAGGAAAGGAGGAGAAUUCUGCUGAUCAUGAGCGAAAGAUAGUGGUGUUUAAUCCUUUUGUGCAUGCUGUUGCUUCACUUUCAGUCUGCAGCUGAAAUUUUCCUGGAAUUGUUCAUAUGUAGCCUUUCUUCCUUGGUUCCAUCAGGCAGCAAGGCCUGAGGAAGGAUUUCAGUGUUUCAGUGUUGCUGUCCUUUGCACAACAGAAGGCAAACACUCCUGUGUGUCUGCUCCCUGACCUCCCAUAGAGCCCGUGGGUUUGCAGGGAAUAGGUGCACGUGACUAAACGUAUGAAGAAAUUCCUGGGGAUACUCACAUGCUUUGCAUGUGUCCAUCAGAGGGUCUCUGGAGCUGUGUGUUUUCUUCAGCAUGAUGAAGCUCUUGGGGAUGCUCUGCCAAUCUCUUCAAGAGACCUGAAGUAACAGAAUACUUUCAGUAGGACUUAAGAUCCAGACAGCAGGACAAUCCCUGUCCUAACACAAGGAAUGACUGCAGAAUAACUAGUGCUGGUUGUGGGCUGGCUACUGGAGUGAAAACUGCCUGGGGUAUGCCUUUGACAUGCUCUGGGGCUGUUCAAAACUUUGGGGGUUUGGUUUUGUUUAUCUGGUUGCUGCUGAAGAAGCUUUCCUUCCUCUGGUAUUUUAAAGGCAUGUGUUGUGACCUGUCACUUGCUAGAUUUGUUUGAUGUGAAAUUUGAGUCUGGCCAUGGAAAAACACACUGCAGGAAUGUGUUUAUUUUGCUCUCUGCUGGAGGUAACACUAGUUUCCAGUUUUCUUGAAGUUUCAGCCGAGUGUUGUGUUGUAAAUGUAAUAAUCACAUUCAGGAGGAAAAUUGGCAUGUGAGAUCUACAAAUGGAAGGCCCAGAACCUGCCACUUUGCUUUAGCUUCUCCCAAGCAAACAGCCACAUUCCCACCAAACUCACUGCAGAAAUGGUGCUGGAAACACCAAAGGUCAAAUUCCCAGCUAUGUCCAUCCUCCCUAGACACAAAGGCAGCCCGCUGAGCCUGUUGGCUUCAUCAGAUGGGAGAUACUCUCCAUAUUUCAAAAUACCAAAUGGAUUUUAAGGCCAUUUACUCCCAUCCUAAGAAAUUAAAGAAAUCAACUCAAACAAGCAAUGGAACCAAAGCAAACCCAUUUUUUUAAUGCUGCUUCACUGCAGAGAGAUUCAAACACAAUAAUUUGCUUUGCAAAUGCUCCCUGUUUAAAGUAACUGUUACAUGUAUGCAGAGUACUCCCAGUUCAUAUGACAAUACAAAGGUGUGGAGAGCUAAUUAAAACAGCUGAUAACCUGUUCAAAGCUUGAAGAAGAAAAAACCUGGACAAGCACUGCAUUUUGUUAUCCACAAACUUGUCUUUUUCUAAGUCAGGGUUAUUCUUAACUAAGAAAACAUUACAUGAAAAAAUUAUUUUACAUAGAUGAAUAAAAUGCUGUGUAUAAUUUUCAUUGCAGCAAAUCACAAUGUUGGAGCUAUUUUUUAUUCUUUUUAUUUUUUAUUCUUU